ensembl:lncRNA
GUCGAGAUAUGUUUUCGAUUGUGCAAUUUCACAUAACAGAAUGCGGCUGAAAUGCAAAAAUCGCAACAAUGGAGGUGGGGAGAAGCAAUGGCUUUUUCUUCUCUUAUCGAAAUUGCUUUCUGUAGAGUUGUUCCAUUUGAAAUGCAUUUAAUUGCAAAUAAAAAAAGGAGUGGAGAGAAAGCCGUGCGCCUCCUAAGCCUUUCUCAUCUGUUUGGAAGCAGGGAGAGAGAGUAUUCAAACGUGCAGCGGCCCAGACAAUAAGAAGAAGCGGGCGUGCUCUGAAUAGCCCAAUCUCUGUCCGCUGGAAAACAGGGCGGACCUCCCUCCAAAACAGAGAAGGCGCUCAGAAAAGAAUUUUAGAAGCAUCUGAGACAAAGUUGAGACUUCAUAGACACAGUAUUGAAUCUCCAAAGGAAUUGAUUGGAUCAUGAAAAGUAGCCUUUACAGUGGAGUACAGUGGCUGGUGGAGUUUAAGAAGCAUUUGUGACUUCGACAGAGAAGCUCUGGCCCGACCCGUCCUGCUGAAGUCUGAAGGAGGAACAGGAAGAUGCUCCAGACCCCGCUGGCAUUUCUGCCUUUGUUUUCAGCAUCAUGAUCUCACAGUGUUGAGGAAUAUACUGCGUUUAGACCAGACCUCAGCUGACGGAAACCCUUCACCUCUAUGCUAAUCACCCAGAGCUCCUUCAAUACCUCAUCUGCAUUUCAUUCUCUGCUUUUGUCUAGUUCAAGAAGAGACUUGUUUCAUUUAAAAAACCUUCUGAUGGACUCCCGAUAACACUGAACAUUAAAAUCUAUUAAUGGUUGGCUGUAAGUUACCUUAUCAUAUGGUGAAAUAAAUGAUACAAG